GACGAACGCUGGCGGCGUGCCUAAUACAUGCAAGUAGGACGCAGUUGCGAACGGGUGAGUAACGCGUAGGUAACUACCUAUUAGAGGGGGCUAACUAUUGGAAACGAUAGCUAAUACCGCCUACUAGUCGAUGGACCUACGUUGUAUUAGGUAGUAGGUAGGGUAAUGGCCUACCUAGGCAACGAUACAUAGCCGACCUGGGAGGGGGAUCGGCCAAACUGGGACUGAGAAACGGCCCAGACUUCGACGGGAGGCAGCAGUAGGGAAUCUUCGGAAAUGGGGGGAACCCUGACCGAGCAACGCCGCGUGAGUGAAGAAGGUUUUCGGAUCGUAAAGCUCUGUUGUUAAGGAAGCGGUACUUAACCAGAAAGGGACGGCUAACUACGUGCCAGCCGCCGCGGUAAUUC
rnacentral:rRNA from 1 species